rnacentral:rRNA from 2 species
CUGGUGUCAGCCGCCGCGGUAAUACCAGCACCCCGAGUGGUCGGGACGAUUAUUGGGCCUAAAGCAUCCGUAGCCGGCCUUACAAGUCCUCCGUUAAAUCCAGCUGCUUAACAGAUGGGCUGCGGAGGAUACUAUAAGACUAGGAGGCAGGAGAGGCAAGCGGUACUCAGUGGGUAGGGGUAAAAUCCGUUGAUCCAUUGAAGACCACCGGUGGCGAAGGCGGCUUGCCAGAAUGCGCUCGACGGUGAGGGAUGAAAGCUGGGGGAGCAAACCGGAUUAGAUACCCGGGUAGUCCCAGCUGUAAACGAUGCAGACUCGGUGAUGGACUAGCUUUAUGCUGGUCCAGUGCCGCAGGGAAGCCGUUAAGUCUGCCGCCUGGGUAGUACGGUCACAAGACUGAAACUUAAAGGAAUUGGCGGGGGAGCACCACAAGGGGUGAAGCCUGCGGUUCAAUUGGAGUCAACGCCGGGAAUCUUACCGGGGGCGACAGCAGGAUGAAGGUCAAGCUGAAGACUUUACUAGACAAGCU